rnacentral:misc_RNA from 1 species
GGAUGAUAUACUGCACAAUAUACUUUCAUAUCUGUACAUCUUUGAUGUUGUUCAGCUAAGCAUUUUAUCGAAAAGAUGGAACUAUAUAUGGAGGACAAUGCCUUACUUGAAUUUUGAUAUUAAUAGCUUUGGUUGUGAAAGGAUUGAUAGGCUUUGGGAUAUGGGUAUGGCUGAGAAAUUCAAAGAUUUUAUCAAUUGGGUGUUGAUUAACCGAUGUGGGGAUAGCCUUGUUUGUUUUAAGCUUUGUUGUGGGGAUAUUUU